rnacentral:rRNA from 1 species
UACAGAGGGGGCAGGCGUUGUUCGGAAUUACUGGGCGUAAAGGGCGCGUAGGCGGCCUUCUAAGUCGAACGUGAAAUCCCCGGGCUCAACCCGGGAACUGCGUCCGAUACUGGAAGGCUUGAAUCCGGGAGAGGGAUGCGGAAUUCCAGGUGUAGCGGUGAAAUGCGUAGAUAUCUGGAGGAACACCGGUGGCGAAGGCGGCAUCCUGGACCGGCAUUGACGCUGAGGCGCGAAAGCCAGGGGAGCAAACGGG